UUGAUCAAACCAACUUUAAAUAUAAACAAUUUCGAGCACAAUUAACAUGAAUGAGAAAAAUAUAAUACAAAAUGUUGUAACUUAGGAAUAUCAUUCAACACAAUAUAAUAUAGUAAUUACCAUAAAUAUCUGAAAGGUGUAGCAAAAAACAAAACAUAGCGAAAGAGUUAAGUCUCAAUGUUUAAAAUCCCUUUGGUUGAGGAAGGUCAACUUGCUUUACAGGUUUCUUGAAUUCAUUAAUCAAAUCAUCUCCAAGACUUGUUGUUGGUAAUUGAUGGGGGACAUUUUCGAUCAGUGGCAUCGAACUUGUUGAUGGUAAUUGAUAGGGGGCAUUUCCGAUAAUUGAUGGUAAUUGAUAGGGGACAUUUCCGAUCAGCGGCAUCGACCCUGUUGCACAAACAUAAUGUGCUUCAAUUGGCAGAACCAAUGACUUCCUUUUAAACAUUUAAUAUAAAUUAACUAUGUUAAUCAAUGCCCACACAAAACCUAAAAAUUGUUUUCCUUAACUAAUCAUAGUUGUUGAAAUUAAUAUUUGCGAGAUGAAUGAAUACAAACAAACUUAUUGAAAUGAUUAGUACGAGAAAAGAAUGUAAAAAUUAGUGAAUACUUAUUUCCGACGGGCGAUAGGUAUUAAACGGAUCUUCAAUAUCCUCUUCAUAUUUCUUCAUUUUUAUCUGCCCCCCUGCUCAAAUUACAGAUGUUAUAUGUUAGAGAACAAAAUUUUAAAUAAUAAUAAUAAUUAAGAUUGUACCUAGUUUGUCCUAACAUUAAUUUUAAUACUAUUAACUGCAAUUUAUGGUGUAGAUAUGGACUGUAGGUCUUGAGGUUUAUGUAAUUUUCUCAUAAGGGAAUUAUGCUAACCUUUUUUGGAACGAUAUCAUAAGUCCCGACAUUAACUUAAGAAGAAAAACACAAUACAUAUAGGCGGAAUCGGGAAACUAUGUAAUAAUAAUUUUGUACUACAUUGAAACUAAAUUCAUGGUGCUAAAGUGAUACAUACUUCGACUAUUGCGUAAAUGAGAAAUAGUGUGUUAUUUGCACGCAUAAUGUGUUACUCCAUAACAGAGAGGGUAACAAAAUGUGUUACCUUUAUUAAUACUUGGAUAUGCAUUUUAUAGUUAAUGUUUUGUUUGAAGGAAAAAUUACUUGGCAUGUUCCUCACGUGUAUGGGAAGGUAACAUGCAUGAGCGGUAAUUAUUAGCAGGCACAAAGUGUUAAUAGAAAUCGUGAGAUGGUAAUAUGAUUUUUCUUGAAUAAUUGCAUUGCCACUUGACCUUCACAAACGGGUUAACAUACUUUGUUACUUGCAGUCAUAGAGUGUAACUUGCACUAUUGAUGAGAUAACGUGAUGUGUUGCCAACGAGUGUUACUAAAAGGUUUUUAAAAAAAAUAUUGAGGUAAUAAUAACCACAUGCAGUUUUUACAUAAUAAGACACGUAAUGUUUGAAUAAACACAUGAAAUUCUUAAAUCCGUUAAAUUGUGAGUGAUCCUUGUCAAAUUAAUCCAAUGUCAUUUUGGAUUAAUUACACAAAAGAUUUUGCUAACCUAUUAUGUGUUAUCCAACAUUUCCUAGAAAGAAUAGAUUUUUUGGUACAGAUUCUUUAAAAUUUAUUUUUCAAAAC
rnacentral:lncRNA from 1 species